rnacentral:rRNA from 1 species
GAACGGACGUAGCAAUACGUUAGUGGCAGACGGGUGAGUAACGCGUGGGAACAUACCCUUUGGUUCGGAAUAACUCAGGGAAACUUGAGCUAAUACCGGAUAAGUCCGAGAGGAGAAAGAUUUAUCGCCGAAGGAGUGGCCCGCGUCUGAUUAGCUAGUUGGUGAGGUAACGGCUCACCAAGGCGACGAUCAGUAGCUGGUCUGAGAGGAUGAUCAGCCACACUGGGACUGAGACACGGCCCAGACUCCUACGGGAGGCAGCAGUGGGGAAUAUUGGACAAUGGGGCGCAAGCCUGAUCCAGCCAUGCCGCGAGAAGUGAUGAAGGCCUUAGGGUUGUAAAGCUCUUUUGUCCGGGAAGAUAAUGACUGUACCGGAAGAAUAAGCCCCGGCUAACUUCGUGCCAGCAGCCGCGGUAAUACGAAGGGGGCUAGCGUUGUUCGGAAUCACUGGGCGUAAAGCGCACGUAGGCGGAUUGUUAAGUCAGAGGUGAAAUCCCGGAGCUCAACUUCGGAACUGCCUUUGAUACUGGCAAUCUCGAGUCUGGAAGAGGUUGGUGGAACUGCGAGUGUAGAGGUGAAAUUCGUAGAUAUUCGCAAGAACACCAGUGGCGAAGGCGGCCAACUGGUCCAGUACUGACGCUGANGUGCGAAAGCGUGGGGAGCAAACA